UGUAGCUAGUUUCAGUAGAGAAGAAAGUUUUUAAAGAUGGUUUACAGAAUCUUUGGAGAGGCCAGGAAAUCAGACAUGGAGGCCUCACGGCCAAGAAAAAUAUUGAAUUCACACCUUUGCUGGGUGAGGGCCUUCAGUCCUUGAGCAGGGCUGAGCAGAGGACACUUAUAGCUAUAAACCCCAUCCCACUCCAAUCUGCCAUGCUACACCAACCUGUGCCAGUAUGAAGGAGGUAUGAGCAGUCUCCUUUCCUCUUCCCAAACUCAGUCUUGUUUGGAGGAGUCUGAUGAGCCUAACCUAGCCUCCAUGUCUGAGGCUGGGAAAGUCCAUCCUGGUUUUGACGAUGGGAUGCAAGACUCACAAAGAGGGAAAGUCCAAAAAUAGCAUGAGAUUUUUAAUAGCUGGUGGCCAGAGAGCACGACAAACCUACUACAACCCAAGAAUAUAUGGUGCUAAGUUGCUUCAGUUGUGUCUGACUCUGUUCAACCCUAUGGGCAACAGCCUGCCGUGUUCCUCUGUCUAUUCUCUAGGGCAAGAAUACUGGGAUUCUCCAGGCAAGAAUACUGGAGUGGGUUGCCAUGUCCUCCUCCAGGGGAUCUUCCCAACCCAGGGACUGAACCCAUGUCUCUUACAUCUCCUGUAUUGGCAAGCAGAUUCUUUACCACUUGUGCCACCUGGGAAGCCCAAGAACGCAUGGUACCUGGGACCUAAUGAAAGCUCAAGAAAAUGCACUUACUAUUGUUACCACAGGACUCUGAUUGGUGGUAGCCUCCUGACUUCUGGUUGAGUUUUCCAAUGAGGAGCAUCAGCAGGACUGAAGACAUUAUAUCUUCCCAGGCUCUUUUCUUGCAGAGUGCACUUUGGGCUAGUUGCAUGCCUCGACCCAAAGGUCCAUGCUGCUGCUGCUGCUGCUAAGUCGCUUUAGUCGUGUUCGACUCUGUGCGAUCCCAUAGACGGCAGCCCACCAGGCUCCCCCAUCUCUGGGAUUCUCCAGGCAAGAACACUGGAGUGGGUUGCCAUUUCCUUCUCCAAUGCAUGAAAGUGAAAAGUGAAAGUGAAGUCACUCAGGUUGUCUACUUGAAAGUUAUACAGUCAUGUCCGACUCCUAGCGACCCCAUGGACUGCAGCCUACCAGGCUCCUCCGUCCAUGAGAUUUUCCAGGCAAGAGUACUAGAGUGGGGUGCCAUUGCCUUCUCCGCCAAAGGCCCAUAAGUUUACAACAUUGUCAAUAAGUGAUAGUAAGUAGUGGGAAAGAAGAAUAAACUCCAUGUUUGUUUGCUUGUUUAAUAAUUUGAUUGGAGUAUAGUUGAUUUACAAUAUUGUGUUGUUUCAGGUUACAGUGAAGUGAUUUAUUUAGUUAUUCAUAUACUUGGGCUUCCCUGGUAGUUCAGACAGUAAAGAAUCCAUCUGCAAUGCAGAAGAGCUGGGUUUGAUCCCUGGGUAGGGAAGAUCCUCUGGAGAAGGGGAUGGCAACCCACUCCAGUAUGCCUGGAGAAUUCCAUGGGCAGAGGAGCCUGGCAGGCUAUAGUCCAUGGGGUUGCAAAGAGUCAGAUGUGACUGAGCAACGAUGCACACACACACACACACACACACACACAUAUUCAUAUAGUUAUUCCUUUUCAGAUUCUUUUAUCAUACAGGUUAUCACAGAAUAUUGAGUAGAGUUCCCCGUGCUAUAUAGCAGGUCCUUGUUGGUUGCCUAUUUUAUACAACAGUAUAUGUAGGUUAGUCAAAAUCUCCUGGCUUAUCUGU
ensembl:lncRNA